rnacentral:rRNA from 1 species
AACGCGAAAAACCUUACCCACCUUUGACAUGUACGGAAUCCUUUAGAGAUAGAGGAGUGCUCGAAAGAGAACCGUAACACAGGUGCUGCAUGGCUGUCGUCAGCUCGUGUCGUGAGAUGUUGGGUUAAGUCCCGCAACGAGCGCAACCCUUGUCAUUAGUUGCUACAUUUAGUUGGGCACUCUAAUGAGACUGCCGGUGACAAACCGGAGGAAGGUGGGGAUGACGUCAAGUCCUCAUGGCCCUUAUAGGUGGGGCUACACACGUCAUACAAUGGCUGGUACAGAGGGUUGCCAACCCGCGAGGGGGAGCCAAUCCCAUAAAGCCAGUCGUAGUCCGGAUCGCAGUCUGCAACUCGACUGCGUGAAGUCGGAAUCGCUAGUAAUCGCGGAUCAGAAUACCGACUGGUAA